rnacentral:misc_RNA from 1 species
AACCACCGUGAAGAUCAUCGCGUGGAAGGGCGCGUGCGAGGUGCACGAGCGCUUCACCGGCGACGAACUGCGCACCUAUCGCGAAGCCGACCCAUCAGUGCAGAUCAUCGCGCAUCCGGAAUGCCCGCCAGAUGUGAUCGNUCGCCGAAGCAGACUUCACCGGUUCGACCGCGCACAUGAUCGACUGGGUGCGCAAGCAUCA